rnacentral:tRNA from 1 species
GCGGCUGUGGCGGAAUUGGCAGACGCGCUAGGUUCAGGUCCUAGUCCGGAUUACUCCGGGUGGAGGUUCGAAUCCUCUCAGCCGCA